rnacentral:rRNA from 2 species
AAAUUGAAGAGUUUGAUCAUGGCUCAGAUUGAACGCUGGCGGCAGGCCUAACACAUGCAAGUCGAACGGUAACAGGAAGCAGCUUGCUGUUUCGCUGACGAGUGGCGGACGGGUGAGUAAUGUCUGGGAAACUGCCUGAUGGAGGGGGAUAACUACUGGAAACGGUGGCUAAUACCGCAUAACGUCGCAAGACCAAAGAGGGGGACCUUCGGGCCUCUUGCCAUCAGAUGUGCCCAGAUGGGAUUAGCUAGUUGGUGAGGUAACGGCUCACCAAGGCGACGAUCCCUAGCUGGUCUGAGAGGAUGACCAGCCACACUGGAACUGAGACACGGUCCAGACUCCUACGGGAGGCAGCAGUGGGGAAUAUUGCACAAUGGGCGCAAGCCUGAUGCAGCCAUGCCGCGUGUAUGAAGAAGGCCUUCGGGUUGUAAAGUACUUUCAGCGGGGAGGAAGGUGUUGUGGUUAAUAACCGCAGCAAUUGACGUUACCCGCAGAAGAAGCACCGGCUAACUCCGUGCCAGCAGCCGCGGUAAUACGGAGGGUGCAAGCGUUAAUCGGAAUUACUGGGCGUAAAGCGCACGCAGGCGGUCUGUCAAGUCGGAUGUGAAAUCCCCGGGCUCAACCUGGGAACUGCAUUCGAAACUGGCAGGCUUGAGUCUUGUAGAGGGGGGUAGAAUUCCAGGUGUAGCGGUGAAAUGCGUAGAGAUCUGGAGGAAUACCGGUGGCGAAGGCGGCCCCCUGGACAAAGACUGACGCUCAGGUGCGAAAGCGUGGGGAGCAAACAGGAUUAGAUACCCUGGUAGUCCACGCCGUAAACGAUGUCUACUUGGAGGUUGUGCCCUUGAGGCGUGGCUUCCGGAGCUAACGCGUUAAGUAGACCGCCUGGGGAGUACGGCCGCAAGGUUAAAACUCAAAUGAAUUGACGGGGGCCCGCACAAGCGGUGGAGCAUGUGGUUUAAUUCGAUGCAACGCGAAGAACCUUACCUGGUCUUGACAUCCACAGAAGAAUCCAGAGAUGGAUUUGUGCCUUCGGGAACUGUGAGACAGGUGCUGCAUGGCUGUCGUCAGCUCGUGUUGUGAAAUGUUGGGUUAAGUCCCGCAACGAGCGCAACCCUUAUCCUUUGUUGCCAGCGGUUAGGCCGGGAACUCAAAGGAGACUGCCAGUGAUAAACUGGAGGAAGGUGGGGAUGACGUCAAGUCAUCAUGGCCCUUACGACCAGGGCUACACACGUGCUACAAUGGCGCAUACAAAGAGAAGCGACCUCGCGAGAGCAAGCGGACCUCAUAAAGUGCGUCGUAGUCCGGAUUGGAGUCUGCAACUCGACUCCAUGAAGUCGGAAUCGCUAGUAAUCGUGGAUCAGAAUGCCACGGUGAAUACGUUCCCGGGCCUUGUACACACCGCCCGUCACACCAUGGGAGUGGGUUGCAAAAGAAGUAGGUAGCUUAACCUUCGGGAGGGCGCUUACCACUUUGUGAUUCAUGACUGGGGUGAAGUCGUAACAAGGUAACCGUAGGGGAACCUGCGGUUGGAUCACCUCCUUA